UACAGAGGGUGCGAGCGUUAAUUCGGAAUUACUGGGCGUAAAGCGGCACGUAGGCGGCUUGGAUAUGUCGGGUGUGAAAUCCCCGGGACUCAACCUGGGAAACUGCAUUCCGAAACUGCCUUGCUAGAGUAUGGGAGAGGGAAGUGGAAUUUCCGGUGUAGCGGUGAAAUGCGUAGAUAUCGGAAGGAACAUCAGUGGCGAAGGCGACUUCCUGGACCAAUACUGGACGCUCAGGUGCGAAAGCGUGGGGAGCAAACAGGGAUUGAAGAAACCCAUGGUAGUUCCGAGAA
rnacentral:rRNA from 1 species